UCCUCAUGGCAACGGACAAAGAGAUACCUUGUUGGUGGUAUUGUUCUUAUAUUAGUCAGGAGCAGAGCAGAUGGCAGUUUUCUGUUCAUCCUAGAUUGGUGCCCAGCUUGGUGGUCAAAACUGUUUUAUGCCUGGGACACAAAA